UGUCAUUUAACGCCUUAAAAUUGGGCCACUGUCUCUUUAAAAAAAAAAAGUCAUGCUCUUUUUCCAAUAGUCUGCCUUCAGAAAGUCCUCACAUCGCUUCUCUAUUAGCCCUUUAACAACGUUUUCACCAGCUGAGAAGCAACGUCUAUAAUGAGCUCAGCACAUGCGCAGUUCCUCCAGGUGUUUGCUAAUUGCUGCCGACUAGUCUGAAGCAGCUGAGUGGGGAAGUUGCGUCGCUCGGUCGCACCUGGCGUUCAGCACAGCUGAAUGGUUGCCACGGGAGACUAAAGGACUCCAGGCCACAGUCUGAGCAGUAGGUCUGCUCCGCCCCAGUCAGGACAGUCUCCUCGAAGAACAGGGAUAAGCAAUCCUGCACAGACACACAAACUGGAUGAAGGUCAGGACGAACCACCAGGACCCAGAAGAGCACCUUGCGACGAAUCCGAUUGCGCUUCAAUCAAACCAGGAAGCGAUGCCCAACCUUUGUUGCCAAAAUAACAAAAAGAGGAAAAAUUGAGGACUAGAAGUUUUCAAAACUAUUUACCCAUUAUUUAAUAUGUAAACUGUGCACAAGAAGCUGUUUAUGUUUUUGGAUCAAGAAUAAUUCACAGAUUCAUUUUCUACCAAAUUUUGUCUACAUUUCUAUUUUAAAAUAUUGUUUAUUUAGUACCUUAUUGAGGAAAUAACAACAACAUAUGUCUUACGGAGUAAAUCUGUUCAGUUUAAGUUUGAAAAAAAUGUGGCCCUGGAUUUUGCUCAACUUAACAAUUUUGACUGUAAUGGCUAAAAGUGUGGACUCUGCUGGUCGAAACAGUGCUCAAUUGGUAAAAAGUAGUGUACCAAGAAAGGUUCCCCCCCACCAUUAUACUUCCACUACCAGCUUGAGCUGUUGAUGAAAGACAGGAUUUGUCCAUAUAUUUUGUUCAUACCACAUUGUGAAAUUCCACAGCUGAAAUCAACUCUAAUUGAACCAGGCAAUGUUUUUCCAAUCUGUUAUUGUCUUGUUUUGUGAGCCUGUGGGAACUGAAGCCUCGGUUUCCUCUUGACAAAAGUAGCUCUUGCAGCCCGUCUUCUGCAAGGUUUUUACUUUCAGAGAUUGGAUUCUGCUCGUCUUGGUUGUAGAUGGAUAAUUGAGUUUCUGUUGUUUUUGUGUCUUCUCACGCCAGUAUGUAAAUUUUUCUCUCACCUCCAGCUACAAAGCAAAAUGAUUGUGAAAAUCCCAGAACAUCGCAAUUCCCAGGACAGUCUGACACCAGCAACAACAGAAUGCUAAAAGUCUCCUAAACUCCUUACUUUCUUCACCCGGAUGCUCAGUUUACAUGUUAGCAAGAAAUCUUUUCCAUGAUUAAAUGUCUAAAUUUAUUCAGUCACUGCUAUGUGAUUGGAUCAUUUC